GAGUUUGAUCCUGGCUCAGAUUGAACGCUGGCGGUAUGCUUAACACAUGCAAGUCGAACGGCAGCACGGACUGUAGCAAUACAGUUGGGUGGCGAGUGGCGGACGGGUGAGUAACACGUAGGAAUCUGCCCUGUAGAGGGGGAUAACCCGAGGAAACUCGGGCUAAUACCGCAUAGUAUCUUUGGAUUAAAGCUGGGGUUAAACCUGGCGCUAUGGGAGGAGCCUGCGUCUGAUUAGCUAGUUGGUAGGGUAAAAGCCUACCAAGGCGACGAUCAGUAGCUGGUCUGAGAGGAUGAUCAGCCACACUGGGACUGAGACACGGCCCAGACUCCUACGGGAGGCAGCAGUGGGGAAUAUUGGACAAUGGGGGCAACCCUGAUCCAGCAAUACCGCGUGUGUGAAGAAGGCCUCGGUUGUAAGGACACUUAGGUCGGGAAGGAA
rnacentral:rRNA from 1 species